UGUGAGAGUGAUGAGUUGCACACUGGUGGAGCCACUGUAUCAGGUGAUACAGGCGCUGCUCAGUACCACCCUGGCGACAAAAUCAAGUGCACAGGGGCCAUCUGACUCACA
rnacentral:snoRNA from 12 species